GAGCGGCAGACGGGUGAGUAACGCGUGGGAAUCUACCCAUCCCUACGGAACAACUCCGGGAAACUGGAGCUAAUACCGUAUACGCCCUUCGGGGGAAAGAUUUAUCGGGGAUGGAUGAGCCCGCGUUGGAUUAGCUAGUUGGUGGGGUAAAGGCCUACCAAGGCGACGAUCCAUAGCUGGUCUGAGAGGAUGAUCAGCCACAUUGGGACUGAGACACGGCCCAAACUCCUACGGGAGGCAGCAGUGGGGAAUAUUGGACAAUGGGCGCAAGCCUGAUCCAGCCAUGCCGCGUGAGUGAUGAAGGCCUUAGGGUUGUAAAGCUCUUUCACCGGAGAAGAUAAUGACGGUAUCCGGAGAAGAAGCCCCGGCUAACUUCGUGCCAGCAGCCGCGGUAAUACGAAGGGGGCUAGCGUUGUUCGGAAUUACUGGGCGUAAAGCGCACGUAGGCGGAUAUUUAAGUCAGGGGUGAAAUCCCAGAGCUCAACUCUGGAACUGCCUUUGAUACUGGGUAUCUUGAGUAUGGAAGAGGUAAGUGGAAUUGCGAGUGUAGAGGUGAAAUUCGUAGAUAUUCGCAGGAACACCAGUGGCGAAGGCGGCUUACUGGUCCAUUACUGACGCUGAGGUGCGAAAGCGUGGGGAGCAAACCAGGAUUAGAUACCCUGGGUAGUCCACGCCGGUAAACGAUGAAUGUUAGCCGUUCGGCAAGUUUACUUGUUCGGUGGGCGCCAGCUAACGCAUUAAACAUUCCGCCUGGGGAGUACGGUCGCCAAGAUUAAAACUCAAAGGGAAUUGACGGGGGCCCGCACAAGCGGUGGAGCAUGUGGUUUAAUUCGAAGCAACGCGCAGAACCUUACCAGCCCUUGACAUGCCCGGCCAGCCACAGAGAUGUGGUGUUCCCUUCGGGGACCGGGACACAGGUGCUGCAUGGCUGUCGUCAGCUCGUGUCGUGAGAUGUUGGGUUAAGUCCCGCAACGAGCGCAACCCUCGCCCUUAGUUGCCAGCAUUCAGUUGGGCACUCUAAGGGGACUGCCGGUGAUAAGCCGAGAGGAAGGUGGGGAUGACGUCAAGUCCUCAUGGCCCUUACGGGCUGGGCUACACACGUGCUACAAUGGUGGUGACAGUGGGCAGCGAAGGAGCGAUCCCGAGCUAAUCUCCAAAAGCCAUCUCAGUUCGGAUUGCACUCUGCAACUCGAGUGCAUGAAGUUGGAAUCGCUAGUAAUCGCGGAUCAGCACGCCGCGGUGAAUACGUUCCCGGGCCUUGUACACACCGCCCGUCACACCAUGGGAGUUGGUUUUACCCGAAGGUAGUGCGCUAACCGCAAGGAGGCA
rnacentral:rRNA from 1 species